CUUUGCCAAAAAUCAGCAGUGAAACACACCCCACCUGUCCUGCCCCAGAUCCCCCCAUUUGACUUUAAACCUGAACCAUAUCAGGGCAUGUCUAAAGACUGUUUACUAGACAUAAGGAAACACAACUGCAACCCCAUGACUAUGAAGGUAAUGUACUACAAGAAGCCAGUCUUCAUAAACCAGGGUUACAUGCAGUGGCUGUGGGACGUGGAUGGAAGACGCUAUCUGGACUUGUUUGCGGGGAUCGUCACUGUCAGUGUAGGACACUGUAACCCGAAAGUGACAGAGACGGCUGAGAAACA